rnacentral:misc_RNA from 1 species
AGAGAGAGAGAGAGAGAGAGUAAUCAAGAGAGGGGCUGAACGCAGAGGUACUGGAUCUACUCCAUGUUUCAAAUCAAUAGCGUGUUAUCGUCAAGAUUUUCAGACUUCAAACAGCACACUAUACUCCCACCCCGCCCUUUCAAAGUUUAAAAAGAAUAUCCAACAUAUGAAUAUUCAUCAAUAUAAAGAAGAGGGGGGAAAAUAAUAUUAAAAGAAAAUGACUUGCGUCCUUAUGAUUUUGAAAAAGAUGAGAAAGCCAAAUAUAUUGACAAUCUAUCUGUGUGAUUUGGUUGCGUAGUGCUACACAUAUAUUAACAUACGAAAAAUUAUCAGCAUUCUGAGAAACUCAUUUGAAAUUGGCUUGGAAUUUAUAAGUAUGUGUUUUUGUUUUAUAUAUGCAUUUCAAUCAAAACUCUCUCUCUCUCUCUCUCCAUGUACCCAUGUGUACAUAUUGAGAAGCUAUCAGCAGAUGCACCUUUUGUCGCAAGGAAUAACAAACAGCUCCAAAGCAAGGAAACUCAUUAACCAAUGGCUUAAAGAUCAACCUGAAAACCCCAGUAAAUCCAAUAUCUUUCAC